rnacentral:lncRNA from 1 species
UGCGGCAUAUCGACUUCACCUUGUGAAAGUACUGGGCAAUCGUCAUGUUACGUUGCGCCAUCGAUAGCAACUCGUUCUCUAGAAGUUGCAGUCUUGUAUCAUUCUUCUUUGAAAAGAGUGUAACAAAAGUGUCUCAUGCUUCCUUUGGCAUUUUGGCAUCCCGGAUUUGCUCCAACAUUUCUUCUUCAAUUGUGGUCUUUAAAGCAAACAUCGAUUUGCCUGCUUUAAUUUUCCACUUUCGCAAGAUGUCAUUGGCAUCUUCUGCCGCCGGUUGUGUAACCUCACCACCACCGACAACCUCCCAAAGGUCCUGACCUUGUAAGUAAGACUCCAUACAUGUUGCCCACGUAUUGUAGUUUUUGAGCUUCUUGAUUCCUCCAACUACUUGAAGGUCACCCAUCGUGCCGACAAGACUUCGACUAUACCGAUCAAGCUUGACUAACAAACUUGCAGAGUAACAAACUCCUCACGACUCAAGAUAGCUCCACCAAGAACGAUCCCUGACCGUCCCGCUCUGAUGCCAAUUGUUGGAGAAAAACUUAGAGUACACAACUCUAACACAGUGUUGGAGAGACAACACAAGUAAACAAAUUACUUGUAUUACAUACACAAAAUAUUACAACACUCAAACUCUCAAGGACACACUUGAGAAGCUAUGACACUCACUCACUUUCUAGAGACAAACUCUAGGUCACUCAUACUCCUCACAAGACUACUCUUACUUCUCACUCUCACUUGGUUGCCUACUUCUUCUUGGUUGGUUGGUUACUUGAUUGAUAAAAAUGGUGUGGAUGCCUUCUCCUUUUAUAGGCAUGGAUGGAACCUUGGAGAAGCAUGUAAUUAUCAUGUUAGAGAUAUCUAGAUAAUUCUACUAACUACUAAUCUUGCAUGUUGGUAGAAACCUCACCAUUCUUCUAGACUCUUCCACCAACUUGAACUUUGCUAGAAUUCUCUAGCAUGUGUAUGGAUCUUUCUUUGUCCAUGGGCUGGAUCCAUCUUGGGCCAAGGCAAGAUUACACUUCAACACAAACACCAAUUGGGCUGGUGUUGAUCUUCAACAGCCCUCAAAUUCCUUGCUCAAUGACACAUUGUAGUGAGAGCGACUAUAUACACUUGCUAAAAACCGGAAUGUCUCGUCAUCUGGACAAUGGCAAGGGACUCGGAAAUCUCGAAGAACGAAACUUUCUAUGUUCAAAGAUCCAGAUCGAAUGACGGAGGAUGAGAUGUAAACCCACCACGACGAUCCACAAGGCACCCAGCAUAUUUAUCAAAAAAUGCUCAAACUAUCACUUGAAAUUGCAUGAACGAGUAACAAUCGAUUUACAUUCUGGGGAAUGGAAAAGGAAGAAAAGAAAGUUUUCAAGUAGCACACAGAAUACAAAAAUACUACACUGUCAGUGUAUGCACACACUCAAUAAAUUGAAAUCGGAGUAGUAUGCAAAACUUUUUCGACAAAAAGUGAAAUUCAUGACUUCAGUUUUCGACGGUAAACGCGAAAUAUGGCAGGUGGAAAAUGAAAGACUAACAAUAAAACAAAAUAUUAAUAAUAUAUUAUUAGUUGCAGUGGAAUUCAGAAACAAUGAACUUAUAAAUUAUAAUCUUUGUCAUAUUACAGCUUCUCAGUUUCAUUAUAAGUUUCUUGUGGUCAUAACUCAUAAGUGGCUCGUAGCAGUUUCCUUUAUUCUUUCCAUACAAGACCAGAGAAAAAGUAACAAAAAAUUGUGACUAAAACUGCCCUCAAAACACAUACAAUUGAUAGAGUCUGUCCUUUCUCAGGGACAAGUAACAUAAUUGAACUAGCGGAAUGAAUAAAACUUUUCUAAAGAGUGCAGAUGGAUAUUCUCCAACACCAGAAUCAACUCAAUUCGGUGGUAAACAGGUAUUGCACCCUUCUGGAUUCAAAGGUGCAAUAAGCUAGAAGCUACAUCGCACUUUUUUAACUUCCACUAAUAAGCAAUCAGUGUAAUUAAGUUUCUGACCCUUAUUCAGCGUUAUUAUUGCAAAAAGAUUUUCUGGUACUGGUGCCUGAAUCCUUAUUACACAGCUCUAUGGUUAAUUUCAGUUUCAAGCAGCUGCAAGGACUAAUUUGUGCUAAUCUUGAAGGAAUCAAAGCAUGUUCCUGUUCUUUUGAAUCAUAACUUUUUCUGGGUUAUGGAACAAAUAUAAUUUCUACGUUAUUAUUAUUUACAGAAGGGAAGGGGGGACGCUAACGCAUUUUCCUUCAAAAAUCCUGCCAUGUUCCAAAAAAUUCUUGUUAAGCUACUAAGCUUCAACUUUAGUGAUAAAUACCGCGUCUGAGACUCCUUAUCUUCAAACAAUUGCCUGCCGGAACCAGAGCGAGGACCAAAUUCGAAACCUAUCAACAUUUAAUUUACAAUUAGCUAAAUUCUUAAUGCUUAAAGAUUUAGUUUCCUUUUCUAGUAGCGCUAAUCCACCUAAAAUGUAAAGAAUUUAAGGAAGCAAUAGGCAUGAUAAUCUAUCUGAUCAUAAUUAACUACCGUUUGGUACCUGAAAUAUCAAAGGAAAAUUUUUCAAUUUACUUCUUGUUCUUGUAAUCUCAGUUUUCAACUCCCAAAGAACUAAAUGCACACACAUGAAAUUUUUUUUUUUUUUUUAAUAAACAACAAUAUUUUACAUUAUAGGGCUUCAAUUGGCAUAACAAGAUUUAAAGUUUCUAAAUUUUUUUCAUUGCUCAUUUUUUGUUUUUCUUGUUCAUUGACUACUGUUUUUGUUUGCAGAACCCAUUUUUCAGUAAAUGAAUAUGACUCAACAACUUAAACUGAGUUAAUGGGGACUGUAAGAUCAAAUCAAAUUGUCAAAUAUGUGUUGACACUGAGUCAUAUAUUUGACCGCAGUGAGUCCAUGUAGUUACGAAUAAAAAUUGUAUCUUGUAAUUGAUAAACCUAAUAAUUCUACAGGUUCUCCAUGUCAGCAAUCCUUGUCAACUCAGCAACCACAGUCCGUAGUAUAUGGUUCUCACUCAACUACUCCAACACAGAGUUUGGAUAACACACGAUGUCCUCAACAGAUUGAGAAGGAUCAUAGUCCUCCUUCAACAUGACUCUAUCAUCACAGUGUACCUUAGCUUUCUGUUAUGUAUUUUUGUAAUUUGAAUUCGAUUGUAAUUCUGAUAACAGAUUCAUUGUAAUCUUGUAAAGCCUAUAUAAUGAAGUACAUGACUCGCUCAUAAUUAAUUGAGUUGAGCUUAUGCAAUUGAUUAUUUCAACCCUAGCUUGAAUUCUUUCAUGGUAUCUCAGAGCUAAAGUCUCACGACAAAACAAAUUUUUUUUCUUCAUGCGUCCUCUUCUUCUCCCUUACCUAAUGCCUCCAAUUUUCUCACCCUUAAACUUGAUCGUACCAACUACCCUCUCUGGCAAGUUCAGAUGCUUCCUCUUCUCCGCAGUCGCAAUCUUGUCUCUUUUGUCGAUGGCACCAGUCAAUGCCCCCCAGCAUUUCUGCAAGAUGCAGAUGGCAACAUCACUGACAAAGUCAAUCCUGACUUCGAAACCUGGAUUCAACAGGAUGCUACAGUUCUGUCCUGGAUUAAUUUUUCUGUUCACCCCACUGUCCUUGCUGGUUUAAUUAGGAAAACCAGUUCUCACUCUGCUUGGACAACCCUCCGUGACCGCUAUGCCUCUCAGUCAACCGGCCAUCUUCUUUAGCUUCACAGUGAGUUGAUGAAUACUCACAGAGGUGAUUCCUCCAUUUCUGAAUUUUUAGAUAAAAUCAAUUGUCUAGCAGAGACUCUCUCUCUUUGGUGCUCCUGUUUCAGACUCCGACAUUGUCGCCAUCAUCCUUAACAAUGUUGGUCCUAUUUAUGAGAGCACGGUUGCCUCCGCUCAAGCUCGUGACGAGGCCAUCACCUACAGUGCUUUGGAAGCACUCUUCCUUGGCGCUGAAAGAAGACAGAAAUUGCGUUCUGCUUUUACCACUGACACCGACCCAACUGCCUUUGCUGCAGUUCGCAAUGGUGGUCGUUCAUCUCCCAGUUUUCGCGGUCGUGGCUCAUCUUCUACAUUCUGAGGUCGCAACAGUCCCACUGGUGGUUGUGGGUCCUCUUCUCGGCCAUGCAACUCCCCAGGUUCUCAUCAUGGAUCUCACCAACAUUCUCACUCUCGCCAACCUGAUGGUCUUCUUGGUCAGUCUCCAAGUUCUUUUCCUACUGGUCGGAUCCAAUGCCAAAUUUGUAAUAUACAUGGUCAUUCGGCAAUCGGUUGUUUCAACCGUCUCAACUUGUCUUAUGAAGGGCGUGUUCCAGCGCCAAAACUUCAAGCCUAUACUGCUGGUGUUCCCCUUGCCUCUGCCAGUGCUCCAGCUCUCCAGAAUUGGCUUUUCGACUCUGGUGCCAAUGCCCACAUCACCAAUGAUCCAGCUCAGGUGUUUAAUCUUUGUCCUUACCAUGGUACUGACCAAGUCAAUGAUGUAGUAGGUGGAACAGGUUUGCACAUCUCUCAUAUUGGAAACUCUUGCAUUCGCACACCCAAAGCCAUUUUUAAAUUACCCAACACACUAUUUUGCCCUACUGCAUCCACCAACGUCAUCUCCAUUCAUAAAUGUACAACUGACAACAACUGUUCCCUAACCUUAUAUCCAAAUUCCUAUGGUGUUCAGGAUCUUCACACGGGGAAGACGCUUUUCCAAGGCCUGAGUAGAGAUGGUUUCUACCCUUUUUCGAGUAUUUCAUCAUGCAAUAAAGGAGUCUCUGCAUUCAUAGGUGCUAGGGUGUCCAAUCAUGUUUGGCACUCUAGAUUAGGUCAUCCAUCAACUCAUGUUUUGAAUUCUUUAAUUUUCAAGAAUAAAUUACCCGUGAAUGGUGUUGUAACUAGUGACUUUUGUCACUCCUGUCCACUCGGCAAGAGUCACAAGUUACCCUUUACUUUGUCUAGUUCUAGGUCAACUUUUCCUUUACAAUUAAUUCAUUCGGAUGUAUGGACUUUGUAUACAUAGAAAUUCCUGCAAUGAACGAGACAAGAAACACGUGUACAAAAUAAUAUUUGUAUUGAUGAUUUAGGGGUUACAAUCUCUUCUACAAAUUUAGCCUCUGAUUCUAUCUUUGUAAUGGGUGGAUUUGAUGUUGUUGAUCCAAAGGGCCGUCGGGGCUUGAUCUUAGGAUAAACAGUUGUGCGGAUUUGUUGACGUCGUUGAUCCAAAGGGCCGUCGGGGCUUUGAUCUAGGGAUGAAUGAAUGAUGAAUGAUGAACACUUUCUUCAAGGGCCGUGAGGGGGGAGGCUUGAUCUUGAAUUAGUGGAAGUUCUUCAAGGACCGUUGGGGCUUGCUUUUGAAUGAGGAUUUGACGAAGAACGAAGAAAGCUUUCUUGAUCCUUCGGGAUUUGCUUGGGAGCCUUGGAGUUUCAAAGCUUCAAGGUUGUGGUGUGAGGUGAAUUGGUGAUGAAUUGGUUUCUAAAAAUGAAUGCCUUGGCCUUCUAUUUAUAGAAUUCCAAAACUUGAUUUUUUUUGGAUUUAAAUAAUCAGAUGAAAUAAAUCAUUUCUGCCAGGUGUUGACAUGUGUCCCGUUUGAUGACUUUUCCGAUUUAUUUUGAUUUUUCGUUUAGUCACAUGCUAUGUGUAAAAUUCAUGUGACACAUAAACGUUGAAAUUUUAAUUAUUGAUCAACAUUUAUUUUACCUAAUUCCGAUGUCUACAGACUUCUCCUUCUGUUUCAAUCAAUGGAUUUAAGUAUUAUGUAGUAUUUAUUGAUGACUUUUCUAGAUACUCCUGGCUAUAUCCAUUAAAACUAAAAUCAGAUGUUUUUUCUACCUUUGUAAAUUUUAAAAAAUUAGUUGAAAACAUGUUUAGCACCACAAUCAAAUCCUUUCAAACCGAUGGUGGCAGUGAAUAUAUUAAUAAUAAUUUCAAAACUUUUUUUACUUAUCAUGGUAUAUAUCAUCGUUUCACAUGUCCUCAUCAUUCCGAACAAAAUGGUAUUUCAGAACGUAAACAUCGUCAUAUUGUUGAAACCGGUCUUACUCUUCUUGCUCACGCAUCAUUACCCACUUCCUUUUGGGAUGAUGCUUUUCAUACUGCAACUUAUUUAAUCAAUCAAUUACCCACUAAGGUCUUGAAUGAUGAGUCCCCAUUUCAAAAACCUUUCUCAAAACUCCUCAUUAUAAUAUUCUUAAAAUAUUUGGUUGUGCAUGUUUCCCAUAUCUUAAGCCAUACAACUCCAAUAAAUUACAGUUUCGUUCUACCCGUUGUGUCUUUCUUGGUUACUCAUUAAAUCAACAAGGUUAGAGCAACUUCACCCUUAGAGCCCUCCCCCCUGGCAAUCCACUAUUGAAUCCAUCCUAUUGAACAGUAACUGCCUUUAAUAAAUAGUAACUGUCUUUAAUGAACAGUAAUUACCUUUUACAUCUCCACCCUUGGAGCCCUCCCCCUGGUAAUAAGUAAUAAAAUAUUAGUUUUUUUGUUUGUUUAAAUAAUAUAAAAUAUAAAAAAAUGGAAAUGGGGCUGCAGGCCCUCGGGCUGACACAAAAAAAAUAAAAAAAUUCUUGGCCCUCGGGCUGCAGGCCUGUCAAUUCCCCACCCCCCUUGUGCUCGAGCUCCCACCUUCACUCGGGCUUUCCAAGGCUAGAGGGUUGUCCACCGGGCCUCAGGCCCUUUCCUGGUGCCUGUCCCCCGAGCAAUCCACAAGGGUGGACUUGCUCUUAUAGGUGUCUAGAUAUGUUUACCGGUCGCGUCUUCUUGUCACGUCAUGUUGUCUUUGAUGAAACUACUUUUCCCUAUAAAGAAACCACCUCUACUCUGUUUUCUUCUUCUCCCUCCUCACUUAACAUCAUAAUUAAUAUUGACCCCCCCAUGCCCACUUUUCAACCUAUGUCGCGUCUUCUUGUGACGUUAUGUUGUUUUUGAUGAAACUACUUUUCCCUAUAAAGAAACCAUCUCUACUCCGUUUUCUUCUUCUCCCUCCUCACCUAACAUCAUAAUUAAUAUUGACCCCCACCAUGCCUACUUUUCAACCCAUUUCCCCGACAUUACCUUACACCUAUAUCUCUUCCAUCCUACCCCAUGUCCCCAUGUCCUACACCUACCCACUUCCAUCACCUAUACCAUACCCCAUUUCUGCCACCCCUAUUUUCACCUCUCCAUCAUCUUCCUGCCAAAACACUUCCCACUCCACCCGUCCCUUCUGCCAACCCCACGCCGUCCUCCUUCAAUCCUCCAGCUAAUAAUUCACCUUUAGAUCCCCUAGUAUCUCUCCACCCUGCGACUGCAAGUACAUCCACUACCAAAAGAAGAUUUAAAGUUUCAAAUUCUUUUAUAUAAUCUAAAAACAUUGAUCUUCUAUCUUUUUACUUGUUCAUUCAGUUACUGUCUGCAAUACCCGAUUACAACAACUGUUUUCUUCGAUGGCAUUGACUUUGAGCACCAAUAGAGCCUCGGCAUCUUUUCUUUUCAAUGAAUCAGCUCCUCGAUGGAAGUAUGAUGUGUUUUUGAGUUUCAGGGGUGUAGACACACGCAAGGGUUUUGUAUCCCACUUACACCAUGAAUUGUCCAAGUGCCAAGGAAUUACGACUUUCAUGGACGAUCGAGAGCUUCAAGGAGGAACAAGUAUUCAUCUUGCGCUACCAAGUGCGAUCAAAGAAUCGCAUAUUGCAAUUGCUGUUCUCUCACCAAACUAUGCUUCUUCCAAAUGGUGCUUGGAUGAACUUACAACCAUUCUUCAAUGCAUGGAAGCCAGGAACUCAGUUCUGCCGGUCUUUUAUCAGACAGAUCCAUCUGACGUCGGAAAUCAACGGGGAUGUUUUGCCGAAGCCUUCGCGGAGCAUGAAGAAAAGUUGAUCAGUAUCGAAGGCAAAAAGAAGGUGCUCCAAUGGAAAGCUGAUCUAAAGCGAGUGUCCAAAAUUUGUGGUUGGACUUCGAAGGAAUCUAAGUAAGCAUGAACAACUUUAAUUUCCCAUGUCUUAGUAGAGUCAAAAUUGAAUGCUUCGUUUAUGUUUUUUCAAUGGUUAUUUUAUACCAUGUAGGUGUGAAAGUGAGCUUAUACAAAAAAUCGUCAAAAGUGUGUGGAGGAAAGUGCAAGCUACACUCCCGUUGUUAGAUUCCUCACAAAAAUUAGUUGGGGUUAAUUUUGGGCUUGGGCAACUAAGUUCUCUAUUAGCUCAUGAUGUCAAUGAUGUACGCUUUAUAGGGAUAACGGGGAUGGGUGGCAUAGGUAAGACAACCCUUGCUAAGCUUGUUUAUGAUAGAAUCUUUCAUCAUUUUGAAGUUCACUGCUUUCUCGGCAACCUUAGAGAGGUUUCUAAUGUUGAUCUUCAAAAAAGACUUCUUUUCCCGGUGUUGAGGGAAAAGAUUGAAGAAAUUUGGGAUGAAGAGCGCGGAAUCAUUUUCACUAAGAAGUGCUUGCGCAACAAAAAAGUUCUUCUUGUACUUGAUGAUGUGGAUCACAUAAACCAGCUACAAGUACUAGCUGGAAAGGAAGAUUGGUUUGGCAUGGGAAGUAGAAUUAUCAUUACAACUAGAAAUGAACGUCUGCUAGUCCAGCAUGACAUAACAUUAUGUCAUAAUGUCAAAGUGUUAGAUAAAGGCGCAGCUCUUGCACUGUUUAGCCUUCAUGCCUUUAAGAAAAAUCUGCCUAAGGAUGGGUUUUGGGAACUGUCAACGUAUUUCAUUAAUUAUGCUGGAGGCCUUCCAUUAGCUCUUGAAACCUUGGGGUUAGCAUUGUUUAAGAGAAGGCUAGAUACUUGGAAUAGUGUGUGGGAUAAUCUGUCAAAAAUUCCUAAUCCAGCAAUUUUUGAUAAACUUAAAAUAAGUUAUGAUGGACUAGAAGAGUGGGAGAAGAGAAUUUUUCUCGACGUUGCAUGUUUCCACAAAGGGAAGUACACGAAUGAAGUAAUUAAAAUGCUAGAUAAUUCUUUUGGAAUCUCUAGUAGUAGUAUGAUAGAUGUACUAAUUGAGAGAUCUCUCAUCUAUCAAGAUCAUGAAAAAUGCAUACGAAUGCAUGAUUUGAUUCAAGAAAUGGCAUGGACAGUUAUUGUUCAAGAGUCUAAAGAGCCUGGUCAACGUAGUAGGUUGUGGCUUUACAAUGACAUUGAUCAUAUAUUUACGACGAAUACGGUAAGAAGUUAAAUACUAAGUUUGGAAGAAGAUAUGAUUUCUUUUGACACUAUAUUAUUAUAUGAAAUUAAUUCGUCCUUUUUUCCUUUAAAUGUUAGGGAACAGGAGCAAUUGAAGCCAUAUCCUUACGCCUGCUCAAAGUAGAAGAGGUACGCCAGUGGAAUUGCGAAGCCUUCUCAAAGAUGGAUGGACUGAGGUUUUUGGAAUUCGAUAAUUUGAUAUUUUCUUCAGGCCCCAAAUUUCUUCCAUGUUCCUUGAGAAUUAUAAAUUGGAGUUGGUAUCCUUCUAAUUUUCUUCCAACCAACUUUCGCCCGCACUUGCUUGCUAAACUUGAGAUGCGUAAUAGCAAUCUUGUUCGUCUAUGGGAGGGAAAAAUGGUAAGAGUAGUUAUGAACAAAAGAUAAUAUUGGUUACUCACUAGUCAAUACUCACUUUUUGAUUUUGUCAAAUGAUAUUUUAACACAUAUAUUAUUUUAAAAAAUAAUAGACGUGUUAUUUAAUUUUUCUGGAGUUUUAAAAUUAAGGAACGCUUGAUAUUUUUUUAUUGUACAAUUCCGAAGGUUCCAAAUUUCUUCCAUAUUCAUUGAGAAUAAAUGCUAUUUAAUUUACAAAAUAAUCAUAUAUUUAUUUAUUAUUUUGAAUAAACUUUAAGGUUGUGGAAGCUAAGUAUAUGAUCUGAACCUUGUCGGUGAUGUUGUGCAGGACUUACCCAACUUAAAACAUAUUGAUAUUAGCAAUUCCUAUAAAUUGAAGAGUAUCUCAGAUUUCAGUGGUAUUCCAAAUCUUGAGAGGUUGAUCCUUCGGGAUUGUAAAAAUUUAGUUGAGAUACACCCGUCUAUUGCAAUCCUCAAAAGACUUAAACAUUUGCUUCUUAAUGGCUGUGAAAGCAUUAAUAGCCUUCCAAGUGAGGUUGAAAUGGAUUCUCUUGAGACUUUCGAUCUUGAUGGCUGCUCAAAUGUGAAAAAGAUUCCAGAAUUUGGGGAGCAGAUGAAGAAUGUAUUGCGGAUUCACUUAGAUGGGACUGCGAUUGAGAAAAUACCUUCAUCAAUUGGACAUCUGGUUGGCCUCAAGGAAUUGCAUGUAAGGAAUUGCAAAAAUCUCUUGAACCUUCCAAGGGCGAUUUGUAAUUUGAAGUCUCUUAGAUAUCUCAGUGCGAGUGGAUGCUCAAAGAUUGACCAACUCCCAGGAGACAUGGAUCACUUAGAGGCGCUUUGCUGGGGACCCACUAUGACAGAGCCGCUUGUGAGCAUGAAAAAUCUCAAACGUCUAGUAUUUAAGACAAAUUCUGACAUAGCCGCUUGUGGAUCGGAUGGUAAAGCAAGGGAUGGGUGGGGCCUUCGCCGCUUAUUUGGACUUGAAAAGAGUCACCCUGAUCCUCCUCCUUGUUGGCGUUUGGUGUUGUCUUCUCUAAGUCAUUUAUGCUCUUUGACAGAGUUAUCUCUAGAGAAUUGUAAUCUCCGGGAGGGGGAUAUCCCCGAUGAUAUUGGCUGCUUGUCCUUACUGGGAGUAUUGUAUCUUAGUAGAAAUAAUUUCGUCAGUCUACCUGAAAGCUUUAGACGCCUUUCUAAACUUUUCAGUCUUGAUCUGGAGGGGUGUAUAAGCCUUCAAAAAUUGCCUCCUCUUCCAUCAAACAGAGGACUAAGAGUAAAUCUGGACAAUUGCACUUCCUUACGAAGGUUGUCAGGUCCAUCCAGUUUUUAUGGUGAUUAUGUCACUUGCCGGAAUUGCAUUGCAUUGGUUCAAGAUGAAGACUUGAUUAAUAGGAUUCUAAUAUUUGUCAUUGAGGUACUCUCUCUCUCUCUCUCUCUCUCUCUCUCUCUCUCUCUCUCUCUCUCUCUCUCUCUCUCUCUCUCUCUCUCUCUCUCUCUCUCUCUCUCUCUCUCUCUCUCUAUUAAUAGGAUUCUAAUAUUUGUCAUUCAGGUACUCUCUCUCUCUCUAAAUAAUUGAUCUUUCUUCUGCUACAGGGAUUGAAAGUUGUAAUCCCUGGAAGUGAAAUUCCAGAGUGGUUCAGUAAUCAAAGUGUGGGACAUUCAAUAAAUGUGGAGCUUCCUCCACCAUCAUGUACCAACUGGCUUGGGAUUGCCUUCUGUGUUGUUUUUCAAGACCCUAAGCAAAACUUGGCAAAUCCAGCUGCCCUUUGUCAUUAUGAUAGAUUCGAAAUUUGGUAUUCAGAUGCACAUUUUAGCCAUAGAGUUUUGAUCAACCGCAUAGGGUCUGUUGCGUCAGAACACCUGUGGGUAUUUUAUCUGCGUCGUUAUAGAAAUCAACGUCGUGAAGAUUGUCUUCAGGAACAGUGUUUAUUCGAAACUUAUUUUUUUGAUAUCGAGGGACAACUAAAGGCAGACUUGAAUAUGGUGAAGAAGUGUGGGGCUCGUUUGGUGUACGAGCAAGAUUUGAAAGAACUCAACCAAAAACUACUGAAACGAACACGCGAAUAUCGUGACAAGGCAGCUCCAAGUGGACCUGGAAGUGUUAGCUUCAACGACACAGAAAAAAUUUGCAAAAGGCGUUGUAACUAGUCACCAUGUCACAAAAAAUGCAAGUAACCAUCGAUUUAUCACAUUAGCUUAAUUGUCAUCAAAAUUAUUUUUUGUUUCGACAUCUUAGUUAAUGUAAUCAAUCUCUCGAGCUAUAUAUUAAGAUGGCUAUAUUUACUGAAAUGCAGAGUGGAUAAGAAUGUUGAUGUAUAAACACUUUUGCAGAUUACUUGGGCAUUAAGAAGAUUGAUUAACAAUCUGAUCAUCUUGCCCAAUGCAGCAAGUGGGUACCUUGGAAACGCGCUACGCCAUGGGGGCUGCUCUGUCAGUCCUGAUCUUAAGGUUCAUUUUCUGAUGAAGCCAUUAGCGUUAACAUGUACACCAAGGGUUGAAUUCAAAUUUCUGUACUCUGGCAGAAAUUGAUUUGUUUCUGUCUGAUUUUGUAACUAAUGCAAACUUGUAGUCCAGAAACAGAAACGUUGCUAAGGAAACAACACUUUUUGCUCAACAACUUUGGUUUGAUUAAAACUUGGCUUUGGUGAUGCAAAAAAUAAGCAUUGAGAGUAUUUUUCCUGAGAUCAUUGGAAAGGUUGUUGUAAAACUUAGAACAGAAAAUCAUACUAAUUUUUUUAAAACCCUUUUUACACGGUAGUUUUGAAGUUUAAACUUUAAAACAGCAAAUCAUAAUCAAAGUAUACACAGAAGCCUCCACGAUAUUAAGUUUUCACCCAAGUAUACACAGAAGCCUCCAGUUGAAUGGCGUGUGUCUAGGUUCUCUACAUAAUCACAAUCAAAGCGAAAAAAAUUCACAAAUGACUAGCAAAGAGAGGAAAACUUCCAGGAGUAGUCUGAAAAUAGUUUUCUUCUUUUCCGUUAACAAGUCCGAACAUACUUUUAUUUGCAAAGCAGAUAUGUCAAAACUGGAACAAUAGAUGAAAAUAAGGGCAAUGAAGGAAAACAUUCAACACAGGAAAAGACCAAAAUCUAAGAAUGAAGUAACUUAAAAUUGCCAUAAAUUACAAAGAAAAGUAUAACACUAAAGAGCUACAUUAGAUAUGUUAUAUAAAUUUUGGAUGGAUCAGGCAUUCUCUGUAUCCUUGAAUACUUCUCAGGUGUUCUGCUGCUUGCUUUUAUAUUGCCAUUCACAAUAUGGAAAGCAAGGAAUUAAAUCACGUGUGCUGUUGUGCAAAAAUUAAGGCAAGGCAAACUAUGGAUUGACAAUUAGUGGUUUUAUAUUACCAUUCACAAUAUGAACAGCCAGUACCAUGCAAAGUUCCGUCCCCACCCCCCUAAGGUCCAUUGGACAAAUGGCUACACCAAGGGCGUAACCGUAUCCCCAUAUAUACUUGGCUAAAGAAUAUGGUUUUAUAUUUAAAGGUUGCAAACACCCGCCCUAACUGAUGCCUGACCUCAUUAGCAGUAGGCCAUUUGUUAUCACUAACCUCCAAUGUCAAUUCAAAACAGCCACCAUUUUUGUAGUUCCAAUCUUGCAUGCCUCCAUUUAUAGGGUACCUACAACAGGUGUCUUAAGAAACAAUAGAUGAAUAUCAAACAGAAGGAAAAUAUACCUAUAAUAAGUUGUAAUGUUUCAAGCCAUCAUACUAGAAAGCUCGAUUCGUAAUCCCUCCCUCAAAUUCCUUGCGCAAUGACAUAUUGUAGUGAGAGCAAAAGACAAGAGCAUAUGUGCAAAAUAAAAAUUAAUAAGCGUUAGCAUAAAUUCUGGGAUAUUGUUAUUUAGAACUUACACAUAUUGUUAGGCACCAUCCGAAAAUCUAUAAUCAUAUUAGAAGUAAUCGGCAAUGUUCAUAACAUUACAGUAACACACUUUAAGACGUACUAUUGACAUCACCAUGCUUGUUUCACACUAUAAAAGAAACAUUUAAAAACCUGAACACAUUGGGCAUCAUAGGUAAAAUUAAAUAAUGAUCAAAACCUACACUCUCACUGAGGCCAACGUACAAAAGAAACAUUCAACUCUCUUGCAAAAUUCUCUGAAAGAAACAUUGGGCAUCAUAGGUAUAAAUGAAACAUUCAACUCUCUUGCAAAAUUCUCUAAAUUCUCCAAGCACUUUUCCCUCAAAAUUCUAACUUUGGCAUCAGAGGCUCUUCGGCCAAACCCCCCCCUAACUUCAUCGUGAACGCAUAAGGCUAUUGGCCUUGACCUAAGAUGUUAUUUGUUUUGUAGGUACAAUUUUGUCCAAGAACAAGGAGGAAGAAAUUUGCAUCCACAAAUUGGUGCUUUAAUUGAGAGCUGAGUCACACACUCGUAGAAGACUCUCGCAUCUAAGGUUUUUUGUUUUCUUGUUCAUUUGUAGAUUUUUCGUACAUUCUUAUUCUUAGAAUUUUUAUUUCUAAAGAUUCUUUGGUAAAACGUAAAAGAAAAGUACAAUGGCAAGGGACUCGGAAACCUCGAAGAACGAAACUUUCUAUGUUCAAAGAUCUGGAUCAAAUGAUGGAGGACGAGAUGUAAACCCACCACGACGAUCCACAAGGCACCCAGCAUAUUUUAAAAAAAAUGCUCAAACUAUCACUUGAAAUUGCAUGAACGAGUAACAAUCGAUUUACAUUCUGGGGAAUGGAAAAGGAACAAAAUAAAGUUUUCAAGUAGCACACAGAAUACAAAAAUACUACACUGUCAGUGUAUGUACACACUCAAUAAAUUGAAAUCGGCGUAGUAUGCAAAACUUUUUCGACAAAAAGUGAAAUUCAUGACUUCAGUUUUCGACAGUAAACGCGAAAUAUGGCAGGUGGAAAAUGAAAGACUAACAAUAAAACAAAAUAUUAAUAAUAUAUUAUUAGUUGCAGUCGAAUUCAGAAACAAUGAACUUUUUAAGGAAGAAGAGGGAAAUGAAAAUAUCCAAUUGCACGUGAUUUUUCGGCAUGUACUUAUAAAUUAUAAUCUUUGUCAUAUUACAGCUUCUCAGUUUCAUUAUAUAUUUCUUGUGGUCAUAAGUGGCUCGUAGCAAUUUCCCUUAUUUCUUUCCACACAAGAUCAGAGAAAAAGUAACAAAAAAUUGUGACUAAAACUGCCCUCAAAACACAUACAAUUGAUAGAGUCUGUCCUUUCUCAGGGACAAGUAACAUAAUUGAACUAGCGGAAUGAAUAAAACUUUUCUAAAGAGUGAAGAUGGAUAUUCUCCAACACCAGAAUCAACUCAAUUCGGUGGUAAACAGGUAUUGCACCCUUCUGGAUUCAAAGGUGCAAUAAGCUAGAAGCUAUAUCGCACUUUUUUAACUUCCACUAAUAAGCAAUCAAUGUAAUUAAGUUUCUGACCCUUAUACUGCGUUAUUGUUGCAAAAAGAUUUCAGCUACUGGUGCCUGAAUCCUUAUUACACAGCUCUAUGGUAAGUUUCAAGCAGCUGCAAGGACUAAUUUGUGCUAAUCUUGAAGGAAUCAAAGCAGGUUCCUGUUCUUUUGAAUCAUAACUUUUUCUGGGUUAUGGAACAAAUAUAAUUUCUACGUUAUUAUUAUUUACAGAAGGGAGGGGGGACGCUAACGCAUUUUCCUUCAAAAAUCCUGCCAUGUUUCAAAAAAUUGAUUGUAUACAGGAAGGAUUAAAAUUUCAGGAUUCAAAAGUUUCUACCAAAUGGCGGCUUGGAUAUAAUUUGGAUAAAUUAAUAUUAAAAAAUAAGAUUGUUUUGUUUAUGCUUUUGUAUGUAACAGAACAUUCACCUUAAAUGCAGCUUCAGGCUCUUCCACCCCGGGCUUAGCAGAAAUUGCUACUACCCACUACAAGCAAUAAUACAUCAAACAUUACCAACUUCAUAAGAUGUGUGUCAAGAUGUUAUUCUAAUAAAUAAAACUCUUCCCAAUACUGAUAAUCCAUUCGAGAAAUCCCUCAACAGGAGAAUAAAAAGAAUAAAUCAGCAUAAUCAUCAUGAGAUGCCUAAACAAAAUCCUACAAUUAAAACCUGUAUUUAUCCAGCUAAAACUACCACUAACAAAUAUGAUUGUUUUAUUUCGACUAACAAGUGGUAAAAUUAUAAUCUGGCAAAUGUUAAAAAUGCACAAGCCCAAGUAAUCACCUGUAAGCCGUAGAAAUGUUACUGCAUCUUUGGCCGAACGCCUUAAUGGCCUGUCCCAGGUCAGAGUUAGUCAUGUACCCCUGAGCUACAUCAACACUGUGUCACCAAUUUUUUUCACAUUUUCAGUAAACACAUAAUUAUAUCAAAUUAGACUAUAUAAUUCUUGUUAAGCUGCUAAGCUUCAACUUUAGUGAUAAAUACCGCGUCUGAGACUCCUUAUCUUCAAACAAUUGCCUGCCGGAACCAGCGCGAGGACCAAAUUCGAAACCUAUCAACAUUUAAUUUACAAUUAGCUAAAUUCUUAAUGCUUAAAGAUUUAGUUUCCUUUUCUAGUAGCGCUAAUCCACCUAAAAUGUAAAGAAUUUAAGGAAGCAAUAGGCAUGAUAAUCUAUCUGAUCAUAAUUAACUACCGUUUGGUAGCUGAAAUAUCAAAGGAAAAUUUUUCAAUUUACUUCUUGUUCUUGUAAUCUCAGUUUUUCAACUCCCAAAGAACUAAACGCACACACAUGAAUAUAGAAUGUAUUCAAAUAUGUAUGUGUGUGUGUGUGUGUGUGUGUGUGUGUGUGUGUAUGACAGAUGAGGAGACGGGGACCUGGAGGGUAGGAACUGUGAAGGCCGCCUCUAGCGGUGGCAGGACGAAGAAAAGAGGAGAAGCCUGAGAGAGAGGAAGAGGAUGGAAAGAGCAAGCUUCAUGAUGUGAUCUUUGGAUUGACGAUGGUGGCGAUGGAGCUCCAGAAUCGGAUUCAGGAAGCCAAGGAGUAAAAGAAGAUGAAAACGUAACGACGAAGAUUGGAGACGCGGGAUCUCGCGGGAAAAUGGGCUGCAAAUUCCGUUGGAAGCGAAGUAACGGGGACUUGGAGUUCGAGAUAUGGGUUGCAAAUGGAUCUCGGCCCAUUUUUCAAACAGCCCGAACCAAACUAAAUUCUAUAGGUUGAUUUUUAUUUUAUUUUUUAAUAAACAACAAUAUUUUACAUUAUAGGGCUUGAGUUAAAUAAAAGAUAAAUAUCACUAACUAUAUUGGUUUGGUAUUGAAAAAAUUGAUUUUGGAAGUAGUUGUCUAUUUCGAAUGUAAUUAUGUAAAUUUUCUCUUGUAUUUACUAAUUCGUAAGGAAUUGAAAAAAUGUUAACUUUCUUUAAUAUUUGUUAUCAAAUAUCAAAAUAUCAGGAAGCAUAUCGACUAGGACGGCUAGUUGAGCCGAUUCCCUUCUCUUACAUUUUCAUACUUCUAAGUUCUCUCAUUCCUUCAUUUUCUUAUUCCUAAUAAGUAAACAUUGAAUUAAUUGAUAUGGAUCCAAUGUUUUAAUGUUUUAAUGUUUCAAAUACUACUUAGGAUUCAGAUUUCAUACAAAAAUCGAAAACCCUUAUCAAUUGCAUCUGACUGGGAACAAAUUUGGUGAGCCCUUGAGUCAGGGCUACACUAGAUUAAAAUAGGGCUGGUUAAAAAAUUCGAAAAUCGAAAAAAACCGAAUCGAUACAAAACCGAACUAAAUAGAAAUUGGUUAGUUUGGUUUUAGCUUUAUGGUUCAAAAACCGAACCGAACUAAAGUACCACUUCAAACGAUGUAGUUUUUGUAAUUUUGUCUUUUACAGGAGGACAAUGCAGUAACACUCAAAACGAUGUAGUUGUUGUGUAUAUAUACACUUGUAUAAACAAAUUGUUGUGCUUUUAUAUAGAUACAUUAUCAUUAACAUAAUUCACUCAAUACAAAUAUAUCAAAGAUCAUAUUGUGGCUCAUACUUUUCAUCGUACAUACCGUCACUGUAUUAUUUAUUAACGGGUGUCUGAUUGAGUUUGAGAAAAUUAUCACAUUAACAAAGUGAUGUCUUUAAUUUAUUUAUGUGUUGUGAUUGACAGUAAAGAAGAGUUCUUUUGUAGAACCAUAUGAUCCAAUUAUUUUUCUGCCUAUUAUGGGCAGAAACGGGUAAUUGAUCAUUUUAGCCUCAAUUGUUUUGGUAGAGUUUAAUUGAUAUUGUUGUAGUCAGUGUCUUUGGAGAAACAUGUUUCAUGCACUGCAGACUGGUUCCUAAAGGGUGCGUUUGGUACGUGGGACGGGACGGGACGGAACGGGACGAGGCGUUCCGUCCCGCGUUUGGUGCGCCAAAAAUGGGUGGAACGGGCUGUUCCACGGGACAGAUUUUGAGUGUUUUUGCGUUCCACCUCCCCCCCUGGAACGGGUUUGUUCCACGUUUGUGGAACACAAUGUUUUACCAUUUUAAGACAAAUAUACCCCAUGUCUUUUUCAAAAAUUACACCUUCGUUCCGUCCCGUCCCGUCCCGUCCCGUUCCGUUCCGUUCUGUCUGCGUACCAAACGCACCCAAAAUGAUGAGAAAAGUUUUAUAGUGGGUGACAUAAUUAUCUUCCUCUUGAAAAAAACAGAGACAUGAAAUCCUUUCUCAGAAGAAAGAUAACAUGUCCCAACAAGGAAUGGAAAUAUGCCAUGGUCGGUCUGCCACUUUUUUGGUGGAAAAUAAUUGUCCUUCAACUUCGGUUUUUCUCUUGAACGAGUAUUGGGAAGUGGACAGCUCUUGUAUGGAGAUUUCCCUGUUGCUUCUUUCAGACGGAUUUACCUUGCACCAAAACGUUAGGUGUGACUCAAAUUUACCUCCGUGUUUUAACAUUGUGACAUGAUAACACGUAAUAGAUUAAUUACACCAUUGUCUUAAUGCUCACAUUUCACAUAAAGAAAAAAGAUUGAGUGACGUUUAACCAUAACUUCUCUUUCUUUUUUUGGACCAUUACCAAUUGUUUUUUAUACGAAAUUUUUACGAUACUUGAGAAUAUGAGAUACGCUGAAUAUUUUAACAAUUGAAUCUUUGUUUAGAAAUACAAAUACCAAAAUAUAACAGAUAUAACACCCUACAAACCACCCUAAAUUUUUUAUUCUUUUACUCUUAGUUUAGGUCAUCCAAACGAAAAAGGAUCCCUCUAGAUCCAUUACGUGGGGAUCUCAGGAAUCUUCAUAAUUCAGCUAUUCAUAGUAUAUUGUAUAGUAAAAAAUUAUUUAAUUUUUAUUAUUUUAAAUUAAACUUAAAUAACAUCGGAUGAAAAAUGAUCGUAAGAUAAACGAUAAUGAUUGAAAUGUGAGAAUAAUAGAUCCGGAAAUCCUUUUCCCAUCCUAACAAUCAUAUUAACUUUUUUUGUUUUUUGUUAUAAAAAUAAUUCAUUAGCUGACACUAUGACCCACCCUAGACUGUCUGGUCACCACCAUCACCACUACUACCAACAGAUGAACUCGGGCUGUCCAAGUGUCCAUCUUUGUCUGUUUUUUAGGAACCGAAAGGCAUAGGCUGCCAUUCUUUGUCUCUGUGCUGAAUCUGCUGAUGGGAACCAAAAGAAAACCAUCCACUGCCUUGUACAUUGGUAACAAACGAAUUAACGGACAAUUAAAGAGACAUGAAAAUAUAUUAUACAGAUGUGCUAUCCAUACACAUUUUUUUACUUUUUUCGCAUUUUUUAUUAAUUUAUGUCAUUGAUCUUCUUUAAUUCAUCUAAUCCGACGAUCGAAAAUUAAAAAGAUACGAGAGAAAUAAAAAAAGAUGUGUGAAUAUCACAUCCAAAAGCCUCGGCAUUGAUCUGCUAUCUUUUUACUUGUUCAUUCAAUUAUUGUUUCAUGUUUGCAGUACCUGUUUACAUCAACUACCUUUUUUCGAUGGCAUUAAGCACCCAAAGAGCCUCGACAUCCUGUGUUUUGAAUGAAUCAGCUCCUCGAUGGAAGUAUGAUGUGCUUUUGAGUUUCAGGGGUGUAGACACCCGCAAGGGUUUUGUAUCCCAUUUAUACCAUGAAUUGUGCAAUUGCCAAGGAAUUACGACUUUCAUGGACGAUCGAGAGCUUGAAGGAGGAACAAGUAUUCCUUCUGAAAGUUCUAGGAUGGGUACUAGUUUAACCUAGAGGGGGUGAAUAGGUUCCAAUUUAAAAAUCCAAUUCAAUUUUCAAUUUAAUUUUCAGUUCUCAAAUUAAAUCCAUAUUCAUAUCACAUAUCAAACUAUCAUACUCAUAUGAAAUUAAAACGAUAAAUAAAAAGUACACACAUGAUGUAGGAUUUUACGAGGCAAAACCCACCACUAGGAAAAUCCUCGGGCUACCAAGCCAGGAAGCACUAAGAAAGAAAGAAUACAUAAAGACUUACAAAACUCAUCAACUAGACACUCAUACCAGUUGGCAGCUUUGUCUCCGCGCUUUGCUACUCGAUCUUUCUUCAGUCUUCGAGUUGAAGUGGCACGACACUAACGCAGCCGUCAAUCACCUUUCCCUCGAACUUUGCAGGAUGCUAACUCGAUCAUGCAGAAUGUUUAUAUGAUGAAGUGUUUGUUUGAAAAACAAUCAAUUACGAAAAUCACAAGGCACAUUUCCAUAAUUGACAUUCAAUAAAAAACCAAAUGAAAAUCAGCAUGAAAAUAAUAUUUUUCUCUUUAAAAACACAUGCUAUUGAAACCACAAGACAGCAGCAAUAUCAAAAAUAUUUUUUUUCCUUAUUCCCAAAAACGCCAAGCUGCUGCCUAUCUUUUGUUUGUCAAAGAACGCCCAAAUAUAUGCAUGUGUGGCUGCCUUUUAAACAAAACAAAACCCUAACCUCCUGUAUACCUCACGGCACCUCACCAAUUAAAUUGAUAAGGAUGGAAAACCAUUUAGAUAACUCCCAUGCAAUCAGAUUAUUUUGAAAUCAUGUUUUAAUAAUUAAUGUAGAAAGGAUAAGUCAUUCUAAAGAGAUAAAACCCACAAAGGGUAAGAGUCCUAACCCAAAUACAAUAACAUGAGAUAUCAGAUGAAUGUAGUUGGAUGCAUGCAUGCAAACGUACCUGGAUGAGUAUCGUGUUUUAGUAACAUCUUCGCAUUGAAAGUGUGAGAAACCUCCCUAGACUAAAACUAUUACAAUUGUAAAUAUGUAACAAGUCUAAGCUAUUACAGACUCAGGCAUUUUGUCAGGGAUUGCCAAUAUUACCCUAACAAUCUCCCCCUUUGGCAUUUCCUAGACAAAAUCCUCUAUCACAGUAUUACAGACAACUAAUAAACUUAACGACCAUGCAUAACAUUGAAGUCUGUAACCUGCACACACUCAAACAAGAAAACCUGUGACGUACAAAAGAUAUAUGCUGCUGUAAAUGAAAGCAUUUAUCUAUAAUAGCAAGCAACCAAAAACAACUAGGCUUUCGAAAUUCUACUUCUCCCCCUAAAUAUAGGCUUCCUACUUCUCCCCCUUUUUGUCUAGAAAGGUCAAAGGCCUUAGAGUUAACCAUCAGGUGCAGUCAGCGGAAGAUAAGUGGAACAAAACAAAAUGUGAUAAAAUAAAAGUGGGGACGAAAUUGGGAGGAAAAGAAUAUCAAAGUAAUGAUCAAAAGAAUAAACAUGGAAAGAAACGAACAUCUUUCAUAUUGUUAAGCUCCCCCUAAACAAAUGCUUUAAAAAAUAUAAUGAAAUGCAGCACGCAAAUGAUAUGAUAUAUAUAUAUAUAUAUAUAUAUAUAUAUAUGUAUAUAUAUAUAUAUAUAUUUUUUUUUUAAUUUUUUUUUUUAUUUUUAUGAGAAGCAUAUAAUUGUUCCAACAAGAAUGAAAGAGUGCAAAGACACAUGUAGUUAUGAAUCCUCAUUCACAAGCUAACAUUGUCCCUAAAAUAUAACAUGUAUGAGUGUAGUUGCAAGUAUAGCCGAAAGUUGAUACUACACAAAUGUAAUUAAGUCUUACAGGACCAACUUAACUUUAACCCUUAAGCUCACAAGAUAUACGCUCGAAUUUUCAUUCAAAGUGUUUGGGGGUAAGUGUAUACGCUCAAAAGAUCAUUACAUGAAUGUUCUACCAUAGGCUUGCAGAUUGAUCUCAUCUCCACACAUCAAAAAUUACCUUCUUUGGAUCAAGUAGGUCUUUGUGAAGGGUUGUAAUGCGGCUUCAGGUACUCGGUUAAAGAAAUGAAGGAUAUAGGAAACACAAAGUCUAAGAAACUAAUAGAGUAGUUGGAAAUGAAACCAAGAGAGAAAUAUAACAACGAACCAGGUAACUUAGCACUCAAUUGAGCGGUUGGAUUUAAGACAUGAACGACAUACAACCGCACAAUUCAUUUCAGAUGAUUCUUGCUCUUCAUUUAGACCAACACACUUGAUUUCUUAUAAUGCUGGCAGCUCACUUAUGAUUCAUAGUGACUUAUUUUCCUCUUUUCUUCUUUUGCUUUUCAUGUGUUGUUGGCUUUCUUCACAAAAAUUUUGCAUCUUCAACUUUUAAAAUAACAUUGAACUCUCUCCUUUGAAAAACGUACUCUACUAGCUUCUUAGUAGGGUAGGGAAUUUUUAAUGUAAGAGGCUAGGUAAGGAAAAUGUAGGUUUAAGAACAAAAGGCUUACAUAUAGGCUCAAAAGGGUUAACUGGGGGAAAACAUAUAAGGCACUGGCAUAUAUGGCAAUGAUGGUAAGUCCUAAUGCCUACUAUCGUCUCCAAAAUAGAAUAAUAUGUGAUACAAAGUUUUGAGAGGUCUCAAAGCAAGUUCUAGAGAAGCAAAACACAUAAGAUCACACACAUGAAAAAAAUAAGAGUGUAUGAAAAAUGCACACACUAUAUUUUAGGCACAAAAGCUCACAUGGGUGCGGGUUUUACUCAAGUUAAACAUGUUCAACUCAUUAACAUUGAUAUAUUAUCAACAAUAGGCUAUUGUCCACAACAGAGUCAAACAUAUCAUGCUAGGGUCAUGUUAUCAAGUGAACAAAGCUAGAAUUCAUAUGAAAUCAUACUUUUCCAUUUUUUCCUCAUACAUUUUUAAAAAUUUUUAUUUUUAUUUUUAUUUUUUAUUUUUAACAAGAAGAAGGACAAAAAAUGCAGUAUUUAUGCUAUAUGAACAUGCAAGCAUGCAUUAAUGAAAACAUUUGCAAAGAGAGAGCUUAGUCAAUAUAAACAACUUGAAAGUGGAGAUAAAUUGACAAGUACACCACUUUGAUUCUCUUUUCUUCUCCAAACUUGUCUUACUUUUGGAACUACCGUACUUGGAAUAGAUAUAAUUCUUGCAAUCCGAUUAAUCUCUUUCAAAUAAGUCACAAAUUGUUCCUUAAGAUUUUCUUUUUCAAAGUUCCUUGAAACUUUUUCUUGAGAAGAAUUUUUCUUUCUAAGCUUAUUGCACUUAGGCCGGAUGUGACCAGGGAUCCCACAAAAAUGACAUAUAGGAAUGAACUUCCUAGAUUGUUUGGGUUUAUUAGGAUUAAUUGAAGUCUUGGUAGGAUUUGACACAUUUGCAAAGAUUGUAGAUGUUUCAGAAGUAAGACCUACACCUUGAUCAGCACCUACUCUUGAGCUAGGAAUAUCAGAUGCUUUGACAAAUCUUGUGAUGGAAGAAGAACUAAUAGUCUUUUCAGACUCAAAUCCUAGACCUCUUUUAUCUCCAAAAUUCUUUCCAUAGCUAAGCAUCUUGUCAAUUUUUCCCGAACCUAUGCUUAAUUCCUGAACUUUGUUUUUCAUCUCAACCAAUUCAUCCUCAAGAGCUUUCUUAUUAGACGUGAGAGUGCUUAUUGUGGUUUGAAGAAUAUGUAUCUUCUCUAACAAUGACUCUCGCAGUUUCUCUCCAUUGUCCAACUGAGAUUGAUGCUCAACUUCAGCUUCUUUCUUUUCACUUUCUACAAGUGCAAGUUUCUUCUUCAAGUUAGAGUUAUCCUUCUUUACUUGCACACUGAUGUCAUAGAGAUCAGAAUAUUUUCUCAAGACUUCUUCCAAGUCAGGUUCUUCAACAAAUGAACCUUCUGUGUCAUAUCCAUCAACAGUUCCUAUAAACGCAAUCGUAUCCUUCUCAGAUUCCGACGUAGAUGCCUCCCCUGAAUCACUAUCGCUCCAAGUGACCUUCAUUGCCCUAUUCUUCUUCUCUUUUCUCUUGAUAGUGUUUGCACACUCAGAAGCAAUGUGUCCAUAGCCUUGACACUCAUGACAUUGAACCCUAUUGUUAGAACUCCUAUGUUCACUAGUUCUAGAUGAUCUAGAGGCUUUGUCAUGUGAGACAUCUAGAGAACGAAAGUUUUUUGAGUUCGAACCUGAGUUGGUUCGUUGCUCACGACCCUUGGAUUUUUGAGACUUGAGAAACCUUCUAAUUUGCAUGGUUAAUUCAACCAAUUCAUCUUCGGACAAGUCUUCAAUUGAGCCAUCACUUUCUUCUUCUUUGACAGCUUUGAGAGCAAUGCUUUUCAUCUUCUUAGAAUCAGGAAGCUCUAACUCGUACGUUUGCAGAGACCCAAUUAAUUGCUCAAGCUUGUAGGUGUUUAGAUCUUUCGAUUCCUCAAUCGCUGUCCUCUUAGCAUGAAACCUCAUAGGAAGUGAUCUUAAGAUCUUUUUCACAAUCCUAUGCUCAGGAAUACUGUCACCAAGAUUGUGACAGCCAUUGACAAUUACGCUAAGCUUAGCAUAAAAGUCAGAGAAACUUUCAUCAUCAGACAUUGUGAUAUUUUCGAAUUUUGUGAUGAGAUGUUGAAGUUUGGAUUCUUUAACAGUUGAGUUACCCUCAUGAGUAACUUCAAGAAUGUCCCAAGCUUCUUUUGCCGUUGUACACUUACUUAUGUAAUUGAAUUGUUCAGGCGAAACGGCUGUGAAUAAAGAAUUCAAAGCCCUUUGGUUAAAAGUGCUAGAGCUACGCUCAUCAUUGCUCCAUUCUUUCCUAGGCUUAAGCUUAGAUAUCGACACAGAGGAUUCUCCUUUAUCUUUAGUUUCUUCAAUCGUUGGAGGUUCCCAACCUUCUUCAACAGCAAGCCACACCUUGUCAUCUUGCGCCCAUAAAAACGAUUUCAUUUUUUACUUCCACGCAGCAUAGUUGUCACCAUCAAAAUGUGGUGGAUGAGAAACUGAACCCAUAGCACGAUUCAUCCUAGACUACCCACGGAUCUCACUAGGUAUUUUUAGUGACCUGCUCUGGUGCCAAUUGAAAGUUCUAGGAUGGGUACUAGUUUAACCUAGAGGGGGUGAAUAGGUUCCAAUUUAAAAAUCCAAUUCAAUUUUCAAUUUAAUUUUCAGUUCUCAAAUUAAAUCCAUAUUCAUAUCACAUAUCAAACUAUCAUACUCAUAUGGAAUUAAAACGAUAAAUAAAAAGUACACACAUGAUGUAGGAUUUUACGAGGCAAAACCCACCACUGGGAAAAUCCUCGGGCUACCAAGCCAGGAAGCACUAAGAAAGAAAGAAUACAUAAAGACUUACAAAACUCAUCAACUAGACACUCAUACCAGUUGGCAGCUUUGUCUCCGCGCUUUGCUACUCGAUCUUUCUUCAGUCUUCGAGUUGAAGUGGCACGACACUAACGCAGCCGUCAAUCACCUUUCCCUCAAACUUUGCAGGAUGCUAACUCGAUCAUGCAGAAUGUUUAUAUGAUGAAGUGUUUGUUUGAAAAACAAUCAAUUACGAAAAUCACAAGGCACAUUUCCAUAAUUGACAUUCAAUAAAAAACCAAAUGAAAAUCAGCAUGAAAAUAAUAUUUUCUCUUUAAAAACACAUGCUAUUGAAACCACAAGACAGCAGCAAUAUCAAAAAUAUUUUUUUCCUUAUUCCCAAAAACGCCAAGCUGCUGCCUAUCUUUUGUUUGUCAAAGAACGCCCAAAUAUAUGCAUGUGUGGCUGCCUUUUAAACAAAACAAAACCCUAACCUCCUGUAUACCUCACGGCACCUCACCAAUUAAAUUGAUAAGGAUGGAAAACCAUUUAGAUAACUCCCAUGCAAUCAGAUUAUUUUGAAAUCAUGUUUUAAUAAUUAAUGUAGAAAGGAUAAGUCAUUCUAAAGAGAUAAAACCCACAAAGGGUAAGAGUCCUAACCCAAAUACAAUAACAUGAGAUAUCAGAUGAAUGUAGUUGGAUGCAUGCAUGCAAACGUACCUGGAUGAGUAUCGUGUUUUAGUAACAUCUUCGCAUUGAAAGUGUGAGAAACCUCCCUAGACUAAAACUAUUACAAUUGUAAAUAUGUAACAAGUCUAAGCUAUUACAGACUCAGGCAUUUUGUCAGGGAUUGCCAAUAUUACCCUAACACCUUCUGAGCUCCCAAGAGCGAUCGAAGAAUCGCAAAUUGCAAUCGUCGUUCUCUCACCAGACUAUGCUUCUUCCAAAUGGUGCUUGAAGGAACUUACAACCAUCCUUAAGCGCAUGGAAGCCAGGAACUCUAUUCUACCGGUCUUUUAUGAGACAGAUCCAUCUGACGUUGGAAAUCAGAAGGGGUCUUUUGCCAAAGCCUUCGAUGAGCAUGAAGAAAAGUUCAUUAGUACCGAAGACAAGAUGAAGGUGACCCAGUGGAGAGAGGCUCUGAAAAAAGUAUCCAAAAUUUCUGGGUGGCAUUCUAAGGAAUCUAAGUAAGCAUGAACAACUUUAAUUUCCCAUGUCUUAGUAGAGUCAAAAUUGAAUGCUUCGUUUAUGUUUUUUUGAUUGGUUAUUUCAUACCAUGUAGGAGUGAAAGUGAGAUUAUACAACAACUCGUCAAAAGUGUGUGGAAGAAAGUGCAAGCUACAUUCCCGUUGUUAGAUCCCUCACAGGAAUUAGUUGGGGUUAAUUUUGGGCUUGAGCAACUAAGUUCGUUGUUAGCUCAUGAUGUCAAUGAUGUUCGCUUUAUAGGGAUAACGGGGAUGGGUGGCAUAGGUAAGACCACCCUUGCUAAGCUUGUGUAUGAUAGAAUCUUUCAUCAUUUUGAAGUUCCCUGCUUUCUUGGCAACAUUAGAGAGGUUUCUAACGUUGAUCUUCAAAAAAGACUUUUGCACCCUAUGUUGAAGGAAAAGAUUGAAGAAAUUUGGGAUGAAGAGCGCGGAAUCAUUUUCAUUAAAAAGUGCUUACGCAACAAAAAGGUUCUUCUUGUACUCGAUGAUGUGGAUCACAUAAACCAGCUACAAGUACUAGCUGGAAAGGAAGAUUGGUUUGGCAUGGAAAGUCGAAUUAUCAUUACAACUAGAAAUGAACGUCUGCUAGUCCAGCAUGACGUAACAUUAUGUCAUAAUGUCAAAGUGUUGGAUGAAGGCGCAGCUCUUGAACUGUUUAGCCUACAUGCCUUUAAGAAAAAUCUGCCUGAGGAUGGGUUUUGGGAACUAUCAACAUAUUUCAUGAAUUAUGCUGGAGGCCUUCCAUUAGCUCUUGAAACUUUGGGGUCGGCAUUGUUUAAGAGAAGGCUAGACACUUGGAAUAGUGUGUGGGAUAAUCUGUCAAAAAUUCCUAAUCCAACAAUUUUUUAUAAACUUAAAAUAAGUUAUGAUGGACUAGAAGAGUGGGAGAAGAGAAUUUUUCUCGAUGUUGCAUGUUUUCACAAAGGGAAGUACACAAAGCGAGUAAUUGAAAUGCUAGAUGAUUCUUUUGGAUUAUCUAGUAGUAUUAUGAUAGAUGUACUAAUUGAGAGAUCUCUCAUCUAUCAAGAUCAUGAAAAAUGCAUAUGGAUGCAUGAUUUGAUUCAAGAAAUGGCAUGGACAGUUAUUGCUCACGAGUCUAAAGAGCCUGGUCAACGCAGUAGGUUGUGGCUUUACAAUGAUAUUUAUCAUGUAUUCACGACGAAUACGGUAAGAAGUUAAAUACUCAGUUUAGAAGAAGAUAUGAUAUCUUUUGACACUAUAUUAUUAUAUAAAAUUAAUUCGUCCUUUUUUUCCUUAAUUGUUAGGGAACAAGAGCAAUUGAAGCCGUAUCCUUACGCCUGCUCAAAGUAGAAGAGGUGCGCCAGUGGAAUUGCAAAGCCUUCUCUAAGAUGGAUGGACUGAGGUUUUUGGAAUUCGAUAAUUUGAUCUUUUCUUCAGGUCCCAAAUUUCUUCCAUGUUCCUUGAGAAUUAUAAAUUGGAGUUGGUAUCCUUCUAAUUUUCUUCCAACUAGCUUUCGCCCGCACUUGCUUGCUCAACUAAAGAUGUGUAAUAGCAAUCUUGUUCGUGUUUGGGAGGGAAAAGUGGUAAGAGUAGUUAUGAACAAAAGAUAAUACUGGUUACUCACUAGUCAAUACUCAAUUUUUGAUUUUGUCCAAUGAUAUUUUAACACAUUAUUUUAAAAAGUAAUAGGCGUGUUAUUUAAUUUUUCUUGAGUUUUAAAAAUAAGGAACGCUUGACAUUUUUUUAUUGUACAAUCUCGAAGGUCCUAAUUUUUUUCAAUAUUCAUUGAGAAUAAAUGCUAUUUAAUUUACAAAAUAAUCAUAUAUUUAUUUAUUUAUUAUUUUGAAUAAACUUUAAGGUUGUGGAAGUUAAGUAUAUGAUCUGAACGUUAUCGGUGGUGUUGUAUAGGACUUGCCCAACUUGAAAUAUAUCGAUCUUAGCUACUCCAAUAAAUUGAAGAGUACCCCAGAUUUCAAUGGUAUUCCAAAUCUUGAGGAGUUGAUUCUUUGGAAUUGUAAGAAUUUAGUUGAGAUUCACCCGUCUAUUGCAGUUCUCAAAAGGCUUAAACAUUUGCUUCUUAAUGGCUGUGAAAGCAUUAAUAGCCUCCCAAGUGAGGUUGAAAUGGAUUCUCUUGAGACUUUCGAUCUUGAUGGCUGCUCAAAUGUGAAAAAGAUUCCAGAAUUUGGGGAGCAGAUGAAGAAUGUAUUGCGGAUUCACUUAGAUGGGACUACGAUCGAGAAACAAAUGAACAUCUGGUUGGCCUCAAGGAAUUGCAUGUAAGGAAUUGCAAAAAUCUCUUGAACCUUCCAAGGGUGAUUUGUAAUUUGAAGUCUCUUGGAUAUCUCAGUGCGAGUGGAUGCUUAAAGAUUGACAAACUCCCAGGAGACAUGGAUCACUUAGAGGCGUUUUGCUGGGGACCCACUAUGACAGAGCCGCUUGUGAGCAUGAAAAAUCUCAAACGUCUAGUAUUUAAGACAAAUUUUGACAUAGCCACUUGUGGAUCGGAUGGUAAAGCAAGGGAUGGGUGGGUCCUUUGCCGCUUAUUUGGACUUGAAAAGAGUCGCCCUGAUCCUCCUUUUUGUUGGGGUUUGGUGUUAUCUUCUCUAAAUCGUUUAUGCUCUUUGACAGAGUUAUCUCUAGCGAAUUGUAAUCUUCGGGAGGGGGAUAUCCCCGAUGAUAUUGGCUGCUUGUCCUUACUGGGAGUAUUGUAUCUUAGUAGAAAUAAUUUCAUCAGUCUACCUCAAAGCUUUAGACACCUUUCUAAAGUUUUCAGUCUUGAUCUGGAGGGGUGGAAAAGCCUUCAAAAAUUGCCACCUCUUCCAUCAAACAGAGGAUUAAGAGUAAAUCUGGACAAUUGCACUUCCUUACAAAGGUUGUCAGGUCCAUCCAGUUUUUAUGGUGAUUAUGUCACUUGCCGGAAUUGCAUUGCAUUGGUUCAAGAUGAAGACUUGAUUAAUAAGAUUCCAAAAUUUGUCAUUCAGGUACUCUCUCUCUCUCUCGCUCUCUCUCUCUCCUUCUCUCUCUCUCUCUCUAAAUAAUUGAUCUUUCUUCUGCUACAGAGAUUGAAAAUUGUAAUCCCUGGAAGUGAAAUUCCAAAGUGGUUCAAUAAUCAGAAUGUGGGACAUUCAAUAAAUGUGGAGCUUCCUCCACCAUCAUGUACCAACUGGCUUGGGAUUGCCUUCUGUGUUGUUUUUCAAGACCUUAAGAAAAACUUGGCAAAUCCAGCUGCCCUUCGUCAUUAUGAUAGAUUCGAAAUUUGGUAUUUAGAUGCACAUUUUAGCCAUAGAGUUUUGAUCAACCGCAUAGGGUCUGUUGUGUCAGAACACCUUUGCCUAUUUUAUCUGCGUCGUUAUAGAAAUCAACGUCGUGAAAAUUGUCUUCAGGAACAGUGUUUAUUCGAAACUUAUUUUUUUGAUAUCAAGGGACAACUAAAGGCAGACUUGAAUAUGGUGAAGAAGUGUGGGGCUCGUUUGGUGUACGAGCAAGAUUUGAAAGAACUCAACCAAAAACUACUGAAACAAACAUAGCAUAUAUCAUGACAAGGCAGCUCCAAGUGGACCUGGAAGUGCUAGCUUCAACAAUACAGAAAAAAUUCGCAAAAGGCGUUGUAACUAGUCGCCAUGUCACAAAAAUGCAAGUAAGUAACCAUCGAUUUAUCACAUUAGCUUAAUUGUCAUCAAAAUUAUUUUUUGUUUCGAUAUCUUAGUCAAUGUAAUCAAUCUUUCGAGCUAUAUAUUAAGAUGGCUAUAUUUACUGAAAGGCAAAGUGGAUAAGAAUGUUGAUGUAUAAACACUUUUGCAGAUUACUUGGGCAUUAAGAAGAUUGAUUAACAAUCUGAUCAUCUUGCCCAAUGCAGCAAGUGGGUACCUUGGAAACUCGCGACGCCAUUAGCGUUAACAUGUACACUAGGGGUUGAAUUCAAAUUUCUGUACUCUGGCAGAAAUUGAUUUGUUUCUGUCUGAUUUUGCAACUAAUGCAAACUAGUAGUCCAGAAACAGAAACGUUGCUAAGGAAACAACACUUUUUGCUCAACAACUUUGGUUUGAUUAGAACAGAAAUAAGCAUUGAGACUAUUUUUCCGGAGAUCAUUGGAAAGGUUGUUGUAAAACUUAGAACUAACAGACUUCUGUUGAAAUAAGGAUGAAUCACACAGAUAACAAACCCGAGAGUAUGAUUGGAAACUAGAAGUCUGACUUGAUCUUGUGACACCAGCAGUUUAAAUCAAGAUGAAGAUAACCCUUCGUGAACAAAUCAGCAAUUUGAUCUUGUGAACAAAUAAAAUUCACUAGUAGCUCACCUCUAAUCACCUUCUCCCUGACAUAAUGAUAAUCAACUUCUAAGUGCUUGGUUCUUGAGUGGAAAACUGGAUUGGAUGCUGAGGCAAUGGAAGACAAAUGAUCACACCAAAUCUGUUAUCUUAGAAGAUUCUAAUGUACGUCCCUAAAACACGAACAUAACCAAGGCAACUCAGCGGCAGUGUAUGCAAGCUGCCUAUAUUCAGCUUCAGUGCAAGACCUGGAAACUGUUGGACUUUCCUGUUAUGCAGUGAUGUAUUUAGAAAUGUGCAUAAGAAGAAGAAGUUUUUAGAGAGAAAAUGAAAAGACAGAGAGAGUUCUCAAAAAUCUCAGAGAGAGCCAAAGAAUGCUCUGCUGCAUAUAUUCCUUCUUUCCUCAACAUUUACAUGACUACUAGGGAGAGAGAAGCUACGUGAGCCUAUGAGCUCAUCAUACCAUUCAUUACAAGACCCUAUGAGAUCUUGACACAUGUUUACAUCCAAGCCUAGCACAAUAUCAUCUAAUCUCAGCCCUUGAUCACUAACUGAUUUAUUUACACUUGCUAAAGUAAGGAAAAUACAGUUUAGACCUUAAUCAACUAACACUCCCUUCUAAGGUCUUAACUGAGAUUACCCCAAGCUUAUCCUUCAAAGCACAGAAUCUGUCUUUAGCAAGUGCUUUGGUGAAAAUGUCAGCUAGUUGCUCCUCACUUUUGCAGUAUUGCAGGUCAAUUGUUCCUUCUUGAAUUGCAUCUCUGAUGAAAUGAAACUUCCUCUUGAUAUGUUUAGACCUCUGAUGGAAUACCGGAUUCUUUGACAUUGCAAUUGCUGAUGUGUUAUCACACAUCAAAGGAGUUGGUUCGAUCAAUUCUUCACCAAAAUCAUGCAGCACAAAUCUCAGCCAUGUAGCUUGAGUGGUGGCUUUUGAGGCACUCAUAUACUCGGCUUCAGCAGUUGAGAGUGCAACACUCUGUUGCUUUACAGAAGCCCAAGAAAAUGCACCACUGCCAAAGCUGAAAGCAUACCCUGAUGUGGACUUCAUGUCAUCUUCAUCUCCACUCCAAUAACUGUCACAAAAUCCUAUGAGUAGAGCUGCAUUUCCCUUUUCAUACUUAAUUCCAUAGUCAACAGUUCCUUGCACAUAUCUGAGGAUCCUCCUUGCAGUGCCAAGAUGUUUGAUGGAAGGACAGUGCAUGUACCUGGCAAGUACACAUGCUGAGUACAAGAUAUCAGGCCUUGUUGCAGUUAAGUAUAGAAGGCUGCCAACAAUUUUCCUAUACAAUUCUUCAUCUGCAGCUUCACUCCCAUCACCUUUCCUUAGCUUAUCCGUGGGAGGUAAAGGUAUUGAGACAGACUUGCAGCUCUUCAAACCAAACUUGUCCAGUAAACUCAGUGCAUACUUUUUCUGGUGAAUAAAGAUACUCCCUUCUUGUUGGAUUACUCCAAUUCCAAGAAAAUGAUGUAACAAGCCUAAGUCAGACAUCUCAUACUUGUUCAUCAUAUCACAUUUGAAAUCUUCAAUCAUUUCUAAACAGCUUCCAGUAUAAACUAUGUCAUCCACAUAUAUAGAGACAAUCAGAGUUCCCUGUCCAUCCACAUGUUUCACAUAUAAGGUGGCCUCACUUGGACUUUUUUUAAAUCCACUCUGCAGCAAAUGAGUAUCAAUAUUGCUGUACCAAGCUCUGGGAGCUUGUUUUAGACCGUACAGGGCCUUUUUUAACUUAUAUACUCUGUGUUCUUCUCCCUUGACAAUAUAUCCAUCUGGCUGAUCUGUAUACACUUCCUCUUCAAGGAUCCCAUUCAGGAAAGCAGACUUUACAUCUAACUGGUACAGUUUCCACCCUUUCUGUGCUGCCAAAGCAAUGAGUGUUCUUAUAGUAUCCAAUCUAGCCACAGGUGCAAACGUCUCAUUAAAAUCAAUUCCGGGCUUUUGAGUGUAUCCUUUGGCAACUAAUCUUGCCUUGUGUUUUUGUACAGUGCCAUCCAAAUUCAAUUUGGUUUUGAAGAUCCAUUUUACCCCAACAAUUGGUUUGUCACUUGGUCUAUCAACCAAUCUCCAAGUGUCAUUCUUCUCAAUCAUAGUAAUCUCCUCAUCCAUUGCUUUCUUCCAAGCUUCAUCUUGAGAAGCUUCAAUGUAAUUCUCAGGUUCAAUGACACUGAGUCUACACUGAGCAAACACUUCAUUCAGAUCUCUCCACUUCUUUGGUGUGUUGUCAUAGGUUUCUGUGAGUGGAAUUUCACUCUCCAUAUUCACAGUGUUAGGAGCAUCAUUGUGUACACUGGAAACAUACUCACUUCUUGUAUUUGGGCAAGAUAAACCAGAGGAACUAAUAUUAGUUUCUUCACACACGCCAUUUUCUAUCUCAGUUAUGCUUAUACCCUCAUUAGCUUCUGAGAAAGGUACCGAGAAAUGCACAGUUUCCAUAUUCUCCCAAUUAAGAGCAGCAUCUUCAUCAAAAAUAACACUCCUUGAGACAAUGAUGUUGUUGUGUUUCAGAUCAUACACCCUGUAACCCUUUUCUCUUGUCCCAUAUCCAACAAAUACACAUUUCUGUCCAGUUUUUGUCUUAACUGGGUUGGCACAUGAGUGUAGCAAACAGAACCAAAGAUUCUCAAGUGUUUUACCCCUGGUUUUCUACCACAGAAUUCUUCAAAAGGAGUCUUGUUCUCUAGUGCUUUGGUAGGACACCUGUUAAGCAAGUAGACAGCAGUGUGAACUGCUUCACCCCAGAACUUGAGUGGUAAUUUUUUUUCAUAGAGCAUGGUUCUUGCCAUCUCAACUAUGGUACGAUUCUUCCUUUCAGCAAUACCAUUUUGCUGGGGAGAAUAAGCAACAGUGAGUUGCUUUUCAAUACCAACAUCUUCACAAAAUCUUUCAAAUUCUAGAGAUGUGUACUCUCCUCAUCUGUCACUUCUGAUUUUCUUCAGUUUGUAACCAGUUUGUAAUUCAGUCAUGGCCUUGAACAUUUUAAAAAUUCUGAAUACCUUAGAUUUGCACUUCAGAAAAUAGACCCAACACAUUCUGGACUUGUCAUCUAUGAAGGUGAGAAAAUACCUGCUACCUCCAAGUGUUUCACUCAUGGGUCCACACACAUCUGUGUGUACAAGUUCUAAUGGCAACUUUGCUCUCCAUUUCUGUUCUUUGCUAAAAGCCUCUCUGUGAGCCUUUCCAGUAGCACACCCUUCACAUACCUGAUUGUACUCCUUUAGAUAUGGCAGACCAUACACCAUACUCCUUUCUUGUAACAUUCUCAGGCUGUCAUAGUUUAGGUGCCCAAAUCUUCUGUGCCAUUUCCAUGUGUUACCUUCAGUGGUAGCAAUAUUUGCUACAAUAUGAUCCACAUGAUUAAACAUUAGUGGAAAGCAUCUAUUUCCCUUCAUUUUCACAGUGGCUAUAUGAUCUUGCAAUUCACGAUCUCCAAAUAUGCAGGCCAUGAAAUUACCAAACAACAACCAAUAGCCAUGUUCAACCAUUUGUCCUACACUGAGAAGAUUUUCAUCCAAACCAGGUACAAUCAUUACUUCUGGUAUGAACCGAGUGCCUCUUUUGGUCUCCACAAUCAGUGUGCCUUUGCCAACUGAGUCAACCAAUUCCCCUGUGCCCAUUUUCACCUUACACCUUAUACUUCUGUCAAUAUUGAUCAUCAAUGAUUCAGUACUGGUCAUGUGGUUACUGCAACCACUGUCCAAAUACCAAACACCAUUGUUUUCUUGCACAGAGGCCUUAUGACAGGCAUAGAACAUCAUUGCAUUAUCUUGAACAUGAUUCAAAUAAUUUGCAGUAUGAUUUUUCUUUGGUUGGUGACAAUCUCUCACUACAUGUCCAAAUCUGUUGCAGUUAUGACACUUAGGUUUUCCUUUGAACCAACACUCUCCAUGAUGAGCCUUAUCACAGAUCUUGCACUUUUGUUUAACACCCUCAGUGAUCUCGCCCUGUCUUUCAGGCUGUCGAGUGUUGUUUUCCCACUUCCUAGACAUAGACUUCCAAUUCUUCUUUCCCUUACUGUGAUUUCCCUGUGUGAGUGGCCUAUUCUGUGCUUUAGGUACAAGACCCAUAGUGGAGAAAGCAUGCUCCGUGCUUGUAAUUUCAUCAACAUGUCUACUCAAUCUAAGCUCAUAACUCUUAAGAGAUCCUACCACUUCUUGCACAGUCACAGUAUUCAAAUAAGAAGUUCUUUCAAUCACAACACAGAUUGGAUCAUAUUUACUGGACAAACUAAUCAAAACCUUUUGAACUUCUCUUUGAUGAGUGAGGUUCUCACCAUAAGAUUUCAUUUGAUUAAUUAAUUCAAAUAGUCUAGUAAGAUAGACAGAUAGAGAUUCAUUCUCCUUCAUUCUCAUAUACUCAAAUUCACGACGUAAACUUUGAAGUUUAACAGAUCUUGCCUGUUCAUCGCCGCGAAACUCCUCCUGGAGUAGAUCCCAGGCACCCUUUGAGGUCUCUUGAUUCACAAUCCGAGGGAAGAUCUCCUUCGAGACAGCACUUUGAAUAAUGCCCAGUGCCUUAGCAUCUUUCAUGAGCUGAUCUUCCAUGUGUGCGUCCAACUCGUCAUCAUCUCCUUCAUCAUCAUCCGAUGAGGAUGAAUCUUCCUCGUCUUUCUCCUUCUUUGUUUUCUUCUUUUCUCCUUUCUUCUUCGAAUCUGGAAUAACAAUCCCUUUGUCAACCAAUUUCCAUAUCCCAUACGAUUUGAAAAUGGUGACCAUUCUCACUUUCCAGAACUCGAACUCCGUUCCAUCAAAAACGGGAGCUCGUAAAUCACCGCUUCCAGAUCCAGCCAUUUAGCUUGAAUCGGAAUGAAAUGGAGAGAUUUCACGUUGGAUUCUCUCACACAAUUUCACAGAAUUCAACGCCCAGUCCGAAAUCGAACCUAGGCUCUGGAUACCAUGUUGGACUUUCCUGUUAUGUAGUGAUGUAUUUAGAAAUGUGCAUAAGAAGAAGAAGUUUUUAGAGAGAAAAUGAAAAGACAGAGAGAGUUCUCAAAAAUCUCAGAGAGAGCCAAAGAAUGCUCUGCUGCAUAUAUUCCUUCUUUCCUCAACAUUUACAUGACUACUAGGGAGAGAGAAGCUACAUAGCCUAUGAGCUCAUCAUACCAUUCAUUACAAGACCCUAUGAGAUCUUGACACAUGUUUACAUCCAAGCCUAGCACAAUAUCAUCUAAUCUCAGCCCUUGAUCACUAACUGAUUUAUUUACACUUGCUAAAGUAAGGAAAAUACAGUUUAGACCUUAAUCAACUAACAGAAACUGUUUUCUGUUUCUUCGAACUCCACGAUAUUAAGUUUUUACCCAAGUAUAUACAGAAGCCUCCAGUCAAUUGUACACCUCGAGGUCUAUAAACAAGACCCUGAUCAUAGGUAGCCUUCAAAUAACGUAGGAUCCUCUUUAACUGCCCUCCAAUGAGUGUUGUUGGAUGAAUGCAUGAACUGACACACUUGGUUCACAACAUAAGAAUCAGGUCUCGUAAUUGUCAUAUAAUGUAGGGCGCCUACAACACUUCGGUAUAAUUCAGGGUUACUAUAUGAUUCACCCCCAAAAGCACUCAGUUUCUGUCCAGAAGAAACUGGAGUCGAGAAUGGCUUGGCAUUGAUAAAUUUAGUACAUUCCAGCAAGUCCAGGGCAUACCUGGACUCUGUGAGAUGCAUUUGAUCACCCGAGCAGGUUACUUCAACACCUAGGAAGUAGUUGAGACGACCCAAGUCCUUCAUGGAAAAUAAAGUGCCCAAUCUCUUUGUCAACUGAGCCAUUUGAUAAGUAUUGUUUCCUGUGAGCGAUUUAUUAUCCACAUAGAUUAGUAAGAUGAGAUAUACUCCUCUUUGAUUAAACACAAACAAAAUUUAAUCACACUUGGAUUCUUGAAAUCCCAAUUGAAGCAAGAAAUCAGAAAAUCUCCCCCCUCCCCCUAAUAAUAGUAAAUUCGAAAAUAAAAUUAAAAAAGAUGGUCAGAGGAGGAGAUGGAUGCUUAUGUCUCACGGAAAGGAAUUCUUUCUUCCACCCUAUUAAGAUUUACAAUUAAUUUGGCACGAUAUCAAUUUUAUUUUUUCAGAAGACACAAGCAUUCAUGAAAUGAUGGUUUCUUCUAAGUUCUGAAGCACUCUGGGGGAUCAAACUGAAUGCAACACAUCUUUAAAUUUCCUAUAGUCCACUAAAAUCACACAUCACAAUCAACAACAACAACAACCAAGCCUUAUCCCACUAAGUAGGGUUGGCUGUAUGCAUCCUAGAACACCAUUAAGUGGGGUGAAUCCUAUAACAACAACCAAGCCUUUACACAUCACAAUCAAAGCGUAAAAAAUUCACAAAUGACUAGCAAACAGAGGAAAACUUCCAGGAGUAGUCUGAAAAUAGUUUUCUUCUUUUCCGUUAACAAGUCCGAACAUACUUUUAUUUGCAAAGCGGAUAUGUCAAAACAGGAACAAUAGAUGAAAAUAAGGGCAAUGAGGGAAAACAUUCAACACAGGAAACGACCAAAAUCUAAGAAUGAAGUAACUUAAAAUUGCCAUAAAUUACAAAGAAAAGUAGGGUAUAAACUAAAGAGCUACAUUAGAGAUGUUAUAUAAAUUUUGGAUGGAUCAGGCAUUCUCUAUAUCCUUAAAUACUUCUCAGGUGUUCUGCUGCUUGCUUUUAUAUUGCCAUUCACAAUAUGGAAAGCAAGGACUUAAAUCACGUGUCCUGUUGUGCAAAAAUUAAGGCAAGGCAAGCUAUGGAUUGACAAUUCGUGGUUUUAUAUUGCCACUCAAAAUAUGAACAGCCAGUACCAUGCAAAGUUCUGUCCCCACCCCCCCUAAGUUCCAUUGGACCUAUGGCUACACCAAGGGCGUAACCGUAUCCUCAUAUACAUGAUAAACUUGGCUAAAGAAUAUCGUUUUAUAUUUAAGGUACCGUUUGGUACGUGGGACGGGACGGAAUGGAGUGGGACGAGGUGUUCUGUCCCACGUUUGGUACGCCUAAAACCAGUGGAACGCGUUGUUCCAUGUGACGAAUUUUGGAUGAAUUUUCAUUCCGCCUCACCCCCUGGAACGACUCGUUCCACAUCCGUGGAACACAAAAUUAUAAACUCUUCGUCUCCUUCUUCUUCCUUGUUUCCAUCCGAGGGCAUCUUUGCUCCCUCUCCGUUCCGUCCCGUCCCGUUCCAUCCCAUUCUGUUUCGUCCCAUCCCGUCUGCAUACCAAACGAUACCUAAAGGUUGCAAACACUCGCCCUAACUGAUGCCUGACCUCAUUAGCAGUAGGCCAUUUGUUACCACUAAUCUCCAAGGUCAAUUCAAGACAGCCACCAUUUUUGUAGUUCCAAUCUUGCAUGCCUCCAUAUAUAGGGUACCUACAACAGGUGUCUUAAGAAACAAUAGAUGAAUAUCAAACAGAAGAAAAAUAUACCUGUAAUAAUUUGUAAUGUUUCAAGCCAUCAUACCAGAAAGCUUGAUUCGUAAUCUCUCCCUCAAAUUCCUUGCGCAAUGACAUAUUGUAGUGAGAGCAACUAUAUACACUUGCUAAGAACCGGAAUGUCUUGUUGUUUGGACAUGCAAAAUAAUCUUUCCUGUAAUUUAAUUUAGAUCAAAAGACGAGCAUAUGUGCAAAAUAAAAAUUAAUAAGCAUUGGCAUAAAUUCUGGGAUAGUGUUAUUAUGAACUUACACAUAUUGUUAGGCACCAUCCGAAAAUCCAUAAUCAAAUUAGAAGUAAUCGGCAAUGUUCAUAACAUUACGGUAACACUGUAAGACCUACUAUUUACAUCACCAUGCUUGUUUCACACUACAAAAGAAACAUUUAAAACCUGAACACAUUGGGCAUCAUAGGUAAAAUUGAAUAAUGAUCAAAACCUACACUCUCACUGACGUCAACGUACAAAAUUGAAGAAGAGUAAUGGAAAUGAAUGAUGACAAUUAUUCAGGACAAAUGUUCAACAAACAAAUCGGUUUGCUUUUUCCAUUGCUGUCAAAGAUGUUCCAAGAGAGCUAAAGGUUGACAGGUUUUUCCAUUAAGAGGACAAGGUUUCCAGCUUAUAAAAGGCAAAAGAAAAACAAAGAACGAGAAAUAUAUAUACAACAGCAUAUCAAAAAGGUAAGACCGCAGUAUCAAGUUAUCAAUCAGCAUUGGUCCGUGAAGAGCUUUUAUGGAUGUAAAUUGAUUACCUUUUAUCCUGCGUGCCAUCCCAUGAUAAUUUGCAACAAGGGCAACCUGUGAACAACAAAAGAAUUGGUAAUGACUAAGGUGCAGUUUAAGAUUGAGGUAAUUAAAAAAAGUUGGUAUAAAAAAAGUUGGAAGUUUUUUUGUCUUUGGUAAACAUUCAACUUCAGUUUUUUUUUUACAGUUUUGGGUGAAAAAAAACAGAAAACAAGAAGCUGCAAAACCCAGCUUUGAAAAGUCGGUUUUUUUUUCACAUUUAUUUAACAUAAAAGUUUACCAAACACUAUAAUACUGUUUUUUUUUUUCAAAAGCAUUUUUACAAAAAAGUUUACCAAACACUUUACAGCUUUAUUUCACAGCUGCUUAUUCUCACGCACAGCAAAAAUAAUUUUUUUUCAAUGCACAUCAAUACCAAAUCAGUACUAAGUUUGAAAUGUACGCGACAAAGCCGUCACUGGGACCCAGCACUGCAGCUUUGUCCUACAGUCUUGUCGGCCACUAAUCAUGAGUCUAACAACUCUUUCGGCCAUCCAACAGCUAUAACCAAUGGGUUGUUGAUUAAUCCAACCAUCUAGAUUUAAAAAAUAUUUAUAAUUACAUUAAAUUCAAUAGAUGUAAUUGAAUAUGAGUAUAUACAACAGUAAAAAAUAAAAAAUAAUAAUUCUGAUGGCCUAAUUUUAAAUUUAACUGUUAAAACAAUUAAAAAAUAUUUAACUCAAAUUUCACCUUAAAACUUUAUAAUUAUAUAUGUAUAUGGUCAAACAUCCAAACACAUACCACUUUCCUCAUACAUUUUUUUCGGUUUUUUUUUAUCUUUCUACCCACUUCCCAAAAGUACUUCAUCCUAUUUCUAAAUUUUUCAAAUUGCCAAAAGAUCAUGUGAGAGGACCUGAUUGGUCAAGUGAUGAAAAUAUUGCUUGUUAUUUGGUAUGAAUUUUUAUUAGCAAAGAUGAUGCUAUAAGUACAAACAAAAAUGCUAAGGAGUUGCGGGCUCGUAUUGUUAAAAUUUUAAUUCCACCUCCAACACCAAACAACCCUAUAAAGGUGUUUACGGUCGGUAGAAGAUUAUCAAUAGAGCAUACACCUUUUUAGAAUUUAAAUAUUUUUAGGUAAAAAUGUUCAUAAAAAUAAAUUAGAAUAAUCGACAUAAAUCUUAUUUUUUUAAAAGUUAACGAAAAAAAAUUAGACUAGAAUUAUUCUUUAAUUAUGUGUGGCUUAAAUUUUAAGCCAUAAUCAAUGGAAGAAAAACAAUUGUUUCUAGGUUAUGGCUUUAAAAUUUGUGGCUUAAUUUUUUAAGGUUUAACCAAAGAAAAGGGUUGUGCAUGGUCUUAGGCUUGUUCGGUCUAAUUAAUAUUAGCGUCGCGCACCCAACUCCCAAUUCUAUCAUCUAAUUCGGCUUCUUUGUGUUGUGUGGAGCUUUGGCCAGCCUUAUUUUCACAAGCAUAUAUCACACCUACAAAGUAGAAAUUUGGGAAAGGCUUUCAAGUGAAUCAAAUCUUUAUUUACGCAAAAUAGCUCAGUUCUUACGGGAUUUCAUUAAGCUGAUUUUUUAGUAGCAGGAUGGCAUCUAAUGAACUAUGUCUUCCCUGAUCAAUCUCGCAUCUCAGCAGAGCUUGAGAGGCACAUCCGCGAAAUUCAUACCAUUGUCGGAAAUGCGGUCACUGAAGGGAGAUACAUUGUUUUUGGUGCUGGCUCAACCCAACUUCUCAAUGCUGCUGUUUGGGUUAAAACUUAAACUUUGGGCUCCAAAGGAAGUUGGCCCAACAAAGAAGAGAAAAGCCCGGAGACCAGCCCAAGUCCAGAAGGCAGAAAUGGUCUUUCCCGACUAGGUGCAGAUCAUUUGCACCACUUGCUCACCUACCCAAGGGCCAAGUGGUAUAGACCUGCCAGCUAAUCAGCCCAAAAGUAUUUUAUAGUGGCAAUACAAGUAAAAUAGCUGAUGAGUCACUAUCCUUCAAACCACAUUCGGGCAAGGUUGUCGCUACAGGAGGCUAAGUCAAAAUGUCUAUAAAAGAGGAGAGAGGAAUCAAAGCUCAGGACACUCAAACAACCAAACAAAUACAAGCACAAACUCUGCUCAAAACCAUAUUUGCCUUCAAAACGAAUCUGUAGUCAGCCCAAACCUUCAUCCUUCUCCGGAUAAACCUUUGUAAUAGCUCUGCUACCUGGUCAAGAACCCGUCGUAGUAUCGAUUUCUUUUGUAAACUCAUCUCCCUACCCCUUUUCUAAAAUGCUCUCAACCCCCUUGAUAAACCACAAAGAUAGGAAGUUGCAAGCCGAUCAGCCUUGCCCGACAAGGUUAAACCUUGCCCGACCCUCUUUGUUUUUGUCUUUUCAUUCAUUAGCCUAGCAAUAUGUUGUAUACUACAAAUUGUAUUCAAGUUAUUUAUAGUAAUAUGGCUAUUAAAAGUUUCUAUCAGCACUUGAAUCCGGUUUGAAUAUAUCUUCACAGUUCAAACCAGAUCUAAGUUCUAAACCCUCGGGCAUGUAAGAUUUGAUCAUCCAAAAGUCCUUGGCCUCAAGGCAUAAAAAAAGACCUUAUGUGGACUUAACCCAUCCACGACAAGCUUUGAUAAACAAGAAGUUCGAAGUUACUUGGGGCGCAAGUAAUCGAUCUAUCACCUAGUUUUAUUUCUAUUAUAUUAUGAUUAUCAUAGAACGUUGAGUAUAGAAUGAAUCCUGAUGGGAAGCUUCAAGGCCUACACCUAAGGCCCCACAAAGGCACCUAUUUGGAUUCAUUCUGUCAUUCGGGCUAGAACGAUGAGUAUGGAAGGAAUUCUGAUGGAAAGCCUCAAGGCCUAUCUAAGGCACCACAAAGGCACCUAUUUGGAUUUAUUCUGUCCUUCGGGUUCGGGUAAUCAGAAGUAUAAUGGUUAUAAGAUUUAUAUAACCAAUGAAACGAAUUAUAUGUAUAUAUUCAAAUAUUAAGUUAGUUAUUAACAGGAAGCCUCAAGGCCUACACCUAAGGCCCUACAAAGGCACCUGUUAUAACUAAAAUAGUCUCUUGAGUAUAUACAAUUAAAAUUCAACAUCCGUUUUACAUCUGCCAUGCUGAAGAUGGCAGUGGCACGCCUGAGCACUCAAAAGUUAAUCUUGAUUGUGAGCCUCAAGGCCUACACCUAAGGCCUCACAAAGGCACAUUUCAAAGUUAAUUCUGUCCUUCUCUUUCAGCCUUACCCGACAAGCCUUGCCCGACAGGCCUUGCCCGACAAGCCCGCCAGUAAAGCAGAAGCCUGAUAGAAAGUAUCAACCAGCGCCAACCUCUCGGGGAGCUGUGUGCUCGUCGGCCAGGAAACAUCCCCGACAGAAAUUCUUGCCACGAACAGCUGCAGUUAACGCACUGUCGACUUCCAAUAACUUCAACUCUUCACCUUCAAGUGUUGUAGCUUCAAUUCCUUAUUACAGUGUAAGAUCCGACUUCUGACUUUACAGCAAUGACUAAAACUAUUUAAUAUUGAUAUACAUGAUUUCGAUGUGAAUUUUCACAGCUUUACCAAAUGCAAACGGAGUUUUUCCGAUCAAUGGACUAUAUGUUUCAAGGAGAUGCUGCCUUGCUGCAGAAUACUUCGGAUGCUACUAAAAAUGUUGUUGAGUUUGUAACCUCACCAAACAAUCCAGAUGGGCAGCUGAAGAAGGCAAUUUUUCAAGGCCCGAAUGCUAAGGCAAUCUAUGAUCGUGUAUACUACUGGCCACAUUUUACAGCAAUUCCUGCUCCAGCAGAUGACGAUCUCAUGAUAUUUACAAUUUCUA